rnacentral:rRNA from 1 species
GACGAACGCUGGCGGCGUGCCUAAUACAUGCAAGUAGAACGCUGACGCGAGGAGCUUGCUCUUCUUGGAUGAGUUGCGAACGGGUGAGUGACGCGUAGGUCACCUGCCUUGUUGCGGGGGAUAACUAUUGGAAACGAUAGAUAAUACCGCCUCACACUGGAUGACACAUGUCAUUUAUUUUCAUGGGGCAAUUGCUCCACUACAAGAUGGACCUGCGUUGUAUUAGCUAGUAGGUUAGGUGAUGGCUCACCUAGGCGACGAUACAUAGCCUACCUGAGAGGGUGGUCGGCCACAACGGGACUGGGACACGGCCCAGACUCCUUCGGGAGGCAGCAGGAGGGAAUCAUCGGAAAUGGGGGCAAAGCUGACCGAGCAAAGCCGCGUGAGUUAAGAAGGGCUUCGGAGCGGAAAGCUCUGUUGUAAGUCAAGAAAAGGUGUGAGAGUGGAAAGUUCACACUGUGACGGUAGCUUAACAAAAAGGGACGGCUAACUACGUG